GUGUAAAAUAAAGGUAUUUCAAUUUUGCACAAACCCUUCAGUGUGCCUUGGAUUGUUUUUGAGGGAGACUAGGGUUUUAUAUUUUUUGAUUGAGACCAUAUUCCACCCAAGCAAUGAGCCCUUCACAAGAUGGAAUAAAAAAGAUUCUAUAGGCACAUCAGGCUUCACAAGAGCCUUUCAGCGACACUCGAAGAGGCAGAGACAAAUGGACUGUGCAUGUGCAUGAACAGUUGGACCAAAACUGUCACUACAGCGUGUUAGAAGUUGGCAUGGGCAGCGUGUGAAAAAGAUCGCCAUUAGCACCUGUGGCUUUUGGCUCUGUAGCAGUGCCAGAUAGUGGAGAGGGAAACGAGGACACAUCCUGAUCAUCUCACCCCUUUGUUCUGAAAUGUUAAAAACCUGCAGAGGUCCAUUAUAAGAUGCAUCAGAGAUCCUGGGAGGUCUUAACAUCUGUCUGCACUUCAAACAACAUCUGUAGACAAGACAAACAACAGCACCGGUGCAAGAACUCUCCGACUAACUCCAAUAACCUUAUUUUACAUCAUCAGUAUUUCAUCCCGGAGCUACCACUGCAGCACUGUCUCGUAUCGAGUGCUGCAUGAUUAACAGUGGCGAGAUGGGAGUUGACAAUCAAUGAUCCUCAUCAUUUAAAUCGCGGCUCCUGUAAUACCUGGCGAAGAAGUGUCAUGAAUAAAAGACAAAGUGAAAUCCAAUGUAUAAUCGUUUUGAUAUUGAUAUGAGCUGAAGGAAGAUCAGUGGUGUCGUUUAGAGUGAUGACUCAUUUACUUGUGUUUACAUCUGGUUAAUUUAUCUUCCUAUUAUUUAAUAAAGUAUCCCCAAUGUAGCUCAUUUUUAACCUGUUGUUCAUUAUAUAAACUUUAUGGUGUCAAGACUAGCG